CAGUCGCCGCGGGAAUACAGAGGGUGCAAGCGUUAAUCGGAAUUACUGGGCGUAAAGCGCACGCAGGCGGUUUGUUAAGUCAGAUGUGAAAUCCCCGAGCUUAACUUGGGAACUGCAUUUGAAACUGGCAAGCUAGAGUCUUGUAGAGGGGGGUAGAAUUCCAGGUGUAGCGGUGAAAUGCGUAGAGAUCUGGAGGAAUACCGGUGGCGAAGGCGGCCCCCUGGACAAAGACUGACGCUCAGGUGCGAAAGCGUGGGGAGCAAACAGGAUUAGAUACCCGUGUAGUCCCUGUCUCUUAUAC
rnacentral:rRNA from 1 species